rnacentral:piRNA from 1 species
UGCAAAGGCCCUGAGAUGGGAAUGUGA